CUUUGGCCCCAGUGAGGGGGUUAAGGCUGUACUAUUCUAUUUCUUCUUGGAAAAUGAAGUCAGGCCAGAUUAAGGGUGCCACUGACAAGGCCAUGUGAGCAGCAUCCUCCUGGUGGUGGCCGCAAUGCUCUGUACCUUGUAAAGCUCUGUGCGCAUCCUAUCCAUCACUUACCAUCAGGAUGACCCCAAAGCGGAAGGCGCAUACAUCUUAAGUGAAUGGUCACAAAGCGGAUACACCUGUGCACCCACCACCCAGGUAAAGGACUAGAACAUGACCAGCAUCCUGAAGCCCUUCCCCAGGCCUCUCCAGGUCCCUGACCUCUCUUCCCCAAGGGUAAGACCUAUCAUGACUUCUAACACCGUAGCUUAGUUUUGCCAGAGUCUCUUGUUUGUGUGUGUGUGUUGUAUAACCUUUUUUUUUCUUCCCUGGUUUCUUUUACUCAGUAUUAUGUUUGUGAGAUUCAGUCAUGUUACUCAGAAAAGCUGUGGCUCAUUGGUUUUUGUUACUGUAUAGUAUCCCAUCAUCUGAAAGAGCCAACAAUCUGUUUACAAAUUCAACACUGGCAGAUAUUUUGUUUUUUUCCUAGCCUGGAGCUAUUACCAAAAAUACUCCUGUGAGCAUUGUCUGUGCUCCUUGGGGUAUACAUGCACACAUUUCUGCAUGUGAUGACAGUCAUAGAGCAUGCACGUGUUCAGCCUGGGGAGAUAAUGCCAAACACGUUUGUGUCAAAUGGUCAUACUCACUGACCCUCACACUACCAGAGUGUCAGGUCUCUUUGCUCCACCUCCUCCCCAUCCCUAGCAUUAUCUUUUUAACUUUAGCCAUUUUGGUGAGUGUGUUUAUGUAUAAAUAUAUAUUUUAUAAUUGUGUGUAUAUAUUUAUAUAGUCAUAUAUAAUAUAGUUGUAUAUAUACGUGUUUGUGUGUGUAUGUAGCUAUAUUUCAUUGAGGUAUUAGGGUACUGUAUUUUUUUUUUCAAAAUUUUACUUAUUUAUUUGAGAGAGAGAGAGAGAACUAGUGGGGGAGAGUGGCAGAGGAAGAGAGAAAGAGAGAGGGAGAGAGGAAGCAGACUCCCCACUGACUAGGGAGCCUGAUGUGGGGCUCGACCCCAGGACCUGGAGAUCAGGACCUGAGCUGAAGGCAGACACUUAACUGACUGAGCCCCCCAGGUGCCCAGAGUACUGUAUUUUAAUAAACAACUAAUUUUGUUUCCUUUAAUAGCAGAACAGGGAAAAUCAUCUAUGAUUUCAUAAGGAUCAUUAAAAUCUUUUUGGUAAUGAAUGCACAUCAUCCUGUUUCCUUCUAGGCCCAUCUCAGUGAUCAAUCCAUGUCCCAACUGACAACAAUGUGACACAUCCAUCAGAACCAUCUAGCAAACAGAAGGAUUCUUCUGUGUCUUUGAAACAGAACAAGGGAAAUAGUCGAUUACUAUAAGCAAUAACAGAAAAACAACAAAAUUUUUAAAAAACGAAGCAUAAACAGUAGAAUAACUGAAUAUUACAGUUAGAUUCAUGUAACUCAACCAACCCAAAGCCAAGAGAGGUUAAAUGAUUAAGACCCAGAUCAAUUGCAGACAGAGCCAGAAGUAGAAUUCAAAUCCCCACCCUCUUACCCUUUAGGAUACCCAAAUUUUUAGUCAGUGGUCUUUCUGUAAUCUGAAAUGUCUUUAAAUUUAAUUUCCCAAAAUUCAGAAUAAUUUCAUAAGUGCACUAAGUUAACCAUGAAAAAGAUCACUAUGUCUUGUGUUAAAAAAAAAAAAAAAAGAUUUUAUUUAUUUACUUUACAGAGAGAGAUCGUGCACACAGGGAUGGUGGUGGAUAGGGGCAGGGAGAGAGGGUGAAGCCGACUCCUCAUCCCAGGACCCUGAGAUGAUGACCUGAGCAGAAGGCAGAUGCCUGACAGAGCCACCCAGGCAUUCCCCACUAUGUCUUGUUAAAGAACAAAGUUAAACUGAGUAAAUUGAAAUAUCAAAUUGCCUUUAUUUAAGACCCAUGAGUCAGCAGCAUCCCAUCUAACAAAUAGAGUAUUCCAAGGAAUUGAACCAAGUAGAAAGCUUUGAGAGGCAGAAGAGGAUGGGAUAAUAAAGUUAAAUAGCAGAAGAAAAGAAAGGAUGGUUUCAGGCAAGGUCACCUUCCCUUAAGGGCAAGGGCAGGGGGUCUUAUGCAGAUUACCUCACUGGAGCUGGUCAGGAAAUUCCAGACUGAUGAGUUUAAAACCGAGAGAGGCUCAAAGUGCAGUUAGGUUAGCCGGGAAGUCUUGGAGCAACUCCAUUUGGGGCCUAUUGUUUCUUUUUUAACAGUUCCCACCCCUCUUGGUCAAACUUUCAGCCUGAGAUGUGAUCAAAAUUGAAGGCAUUAGCACCAUCUCAGCUCCUGCUCUAGUUCUCACUGCUUUCAUUCAUCCUGGGUUUUGCUGACUCUCUGUGGUACUCACAGGUCAUGACUUCAGGCUCACAGUUUUUUAGUUGGUCAUUGUCUUUGUUCCCUUUUUGUCAUUCCAGUCUUCGAGAGAGAUCAUUUACAUAGUGGUUAGUGCUGCAAACAUGUAUUUAAAGCUCUCGGGAGAAUACAGCACACCAGGGAGAUUAUUGUAACUAUAAGCAGCAUAAUUCCCAACAUUUGAAGCAUACUUCAGAGCCAUGGCCCCUAAGAACAAACCAAUCAAAGAAUGACCCCAUUGACCAAGUCACCCUUUUUAAACCAAGUGGUUUGCUGAGUAAUCUCACAUAACUGAGUUGCAGCUUCCCCAGAAGUGUUAAUCCAGGUACAGCUAGUUCAGUUGGCUACAACACAGACACCUCCUUACUCAGAACAGCUUUGGCCCGAGAGUCUAAGGAUCUUUGCUGGGUAGCUAGUGUCUUAGCAACAGAAUCUGCAGUGUCUCUAAGAGUUAAGGAGAGGUUUCGAAUCAUAUUCUCAUUUGUAUUUAUUCCUAAACUGGGGGGCAGUCAGGGUUUUAGCAUGUAUAGGGAGAGAAUCUCCAAACCUGAAAUAAAAAAUCAUUUUAAGUGCCUUACAAAGAUGGGUGCUGCUGGUGUGCUCUCUUAACGAAUGGGGACAGAUCUGGUCUAGAUGAUCACGGGAACCUAGGGUUCAAAUGUCCUAAGAUUCACAUAGGUAAAUUGUCUAAUUGGGUACAUACUGCUAAGUGGGGAGCAGAGAGGGGGCGCGUUCAGGCAUAAUUUGCAUUGACAUUGGGAUUCCAAGAGAAAUUUUGGUCCCAGGGAGGAUUCUUUGCAUCAUGACAAAUCUAGCAAUCUGAGAGCUAAUCCCCACCCCCUUAGCAAUGGCCUGAAGGAUACAAGCAUGGGCAUUCUCUCUCCAGGCCAAUGCCAGAGUGAAAAAAAGAUAAAGGAGAUAGGGCUUCAUGUCUAGUUAAAGUAUGAAAUCUUGAUCCAGCGUCUUGACUGAAGGCAGUCUACUUGGAUGUCAGCUACUUCUCUUCCUUGUCAAUUCAAUUUGUAGGUCUGCCCAGGGCCAGAUGUCAGGUGGAGACUUCUUUAUCAGUGAGACAAGUACUGAUUGUCUAGAGACUCAGGGUGUUCUAGAUUUGCAGUAGAGUGUGGUCAGGAGUACUUGGUAAGGUCCCUUCCGAUGAGGCAUAAUGAGGCUGUCUUCCUCUGAGGACACUCCCAGAAUACCGAGUUACCAGGCUCUAGACCGUGCCCAACAGGAUCCUUUGAAAUGGGAUCCAGAAAACCUUCUUUAAUCUCUUGUUAAUAUGCUUAAGCAUAAGACAUAAGCAUAAGACUUACUGUAGCUGGUCAUACUGGCAUGAAAGUUGUAUAACUUCAGCAGAAGGUUCUAUACCAGUAGACGUGGAUCUUUCUGUAACUAUCUUGUGUACGGUGACUUUCCCAAAAUGUAGUACUGUGAAUAAUCAGCAAGACCAAAGACAAUACUGUCAGCCAUGGAUAUCUGUGGUCUCUGCAAGUUUAGACAUUUUUAAGUUUAAAAAUCUCGUUUAGUUCCCUCAACCUUGCCUGAUGAUUGAGGGUGAUAGGGACAGUGGUAAUCCACAGGAGGUUUGCAAAGUGUUCGUUAAGGCUCAUAUGAUUUGGGGCAUCUGGGUGGCUCAGUGAGCUAAGCAUUUGCCUUCAGCUCAGGUCACCAUCUCUAGGUCCUGGGAUGGAGCCCCCCUUCAGGCUUCCUGCUCAGCCGGGGGUCUAUCCCUCUGCCCCUCCCCACCACUCAUUCUUGCUCUCUCUCAGAUCAAUAAAUUUGCUCUCUCAAAUCAAUAAAUAAAAUCUUUAAAAAAAAAAAAAAGGCUCAUGACUA